rnacentral:rRNA from 1 species
AGCAGCCGCGGUAAUUCCAGCUCCAAUAGCGUAUAUUAAAGUUGUUGCAGUUAAAAAGCUCGUAGUUGAAUUUCGGGGUUAGUAGGUUGGUCAUGCCUCUGGUAUGUACUGGUCUCACUGAUUCCUCCUUCCUGAUGAACCUUAAUGCCAUUAAUUUGGUGUUUUGGGGAAUUUGGACUGUUACUUUGAAAAAAUUAGAGUGUUUAAAGCAAGCUAACGCUUGAAUACAUUAGCAUGGAAUAAUGAAAUAGGACGUUCGAUCCUAUUUUGUUGGUUUCUAGGAUUGACGUAAUGAUUAAUAGGGAUAGUUGGGGGCAUUAGUAUUCAAUUGUCAGAGGUGAAAUUCUUGGAUUUAUUGAAGACUAACUACUGCGAAAGCAUUUGCCAAGGAUGUUUUCAUUAAUCAAGACGAAAGUUAGGGAUCGAAGACGAUCAGAUACCGUCGUAGUCUUAACCNUAAACUAUGCCGACUAGGGAUCGGAUGAUGUAAUUUUUANGUACUCAUUCGGCNCCUUACGGG